UGCCUAAAGAAAAGUACGCAAAUUGCAGAUCUCUUUCUCUCUCUUCCUCGAUUUCCGUUCUCCGGAUUUCAAUCGGAUUUAAUUUGAUUUCUUGAUGUUUGCACGUGCAACGAUGCAAAGCACACAGCGAAAAAUACAAGCGCAAUCGUUAAAAUGGAUUUUAUCUUUAUAACAAGAAGUGCAAAUCGUAAUCAAGAUCGUUCUUGAUUAAAUUUUUAUUUCCGAAUAUUUUUUAACGCGUUUUUUUCUUUUUGUUUUUUUCUUUUUUUAGUACAAAAAUGGAAAUGUGUGAUUCUUUCGUAAUAUAGCUUCGGUUGUUAAACGAUUACAAUUUUCAAAAAGCUUUUGUAUGUGUCUGUGUAUAUAUAUAUAUGUAUGUAUAUAUACAUGUAUGUAUGUAUGCACUGUAAAUGCUCGAAAAAGUGAAAUUCAGCAUCAAAAUAGGUCGCGCUUAGAGAGUAUAGGAGUUGUUAGUGUUAACAUCUACUUUUUGGCCCCGCAUUAAUGAACGAACUCGACGUUUCCUGCGAAACUGUUGUGUAUGUGUGUGCUACGGAAAAUGUUCGAAACUUGUUACGUUCGACUAUAACCUUCGCUUCACAUUCUUCUUCCUUUUUUCGCAGUCGGAUAGUAAAAAUUUUAGAAAAUCGUUAUGUGUAUAACUUUUUACGCUAAACCAUUUAAUAUUUAGGAAUAAUAUAUAUUGUUUACUGAAGUGUAUAUUAUUUUACUAUUACUUUUAUUUGCUGAAUACCUUGAUUAAUGUUCUAAGAUACAGAAUUUUUCAUAACAAAAAUGUAAGUCAAAGUUUUAAAAAGAAAAAGAUUUCAACUCUGAACCACAGAUAUCUAACCCCUUCCCGUACUUUAUCGAGUCAGACUCGCGAUGAAGAUUUUGGCCCGAACAUAAAUAUCGCGAGUCUGACUCGCGACCAGAUACUUGGGCCAAACGUAAACAUCGCGAGUCUGACUCGCGACCAGAUACUUGGGCCAAACGUAAAUAUCGCGAGUCUGACUCGCGACCAGAUACUUGGGUCAAACGUAAACAUAACAACCGAGCUCGCGGAUUGUUUUGUUGCCCCGUUACGAUCGUGACUGAAUGUUAGUUUCUACAUUUCGGUUCCGCUCGUCGAUGUCUACCGCUUGGGCUCGAGUUUCGUCCAACUAAAUGGCACGGGAAGGGGUUAACAAUGGUAAACAGCUACAUAUAUUGUCAAGAUGUUGUAAGUAGUCAAAAGAAACAUCCACAAAUACCUAAGUGUUGCAGAAAUUGUAUUCUUAACCUUGGGGCAUCAUCUAAUUCACGUAAUUUAAAUAUAGAAUAAUGCUCGGAGUUAUUUUCGUAAACCGAUGACUCAUCGACAUGUAGGUACCGGUAGUUCUAUUUUUAGCACGGUAUGUCAACAAACGACACUUUUGUCGCCCAUUGAGCGUCGGCGGGCUCGAGCCUAGGCCGUUUUCUGCUAAGACAGUGGUCUUGUGGUACCUAAACUCUAGCAUACGCACACAGGUUUGACCGUGUUUACGUCGAUCGCGAGUUGUUUUGUCAAACGUCAAAGCGAAAAGGGCGCUCCGAAUUAUCUUUGUCAGACGUGCAGCAUUGUCACUUUUGCAUCACCAGCGUGCCCCACAAAGUAUACUUAGCAAAAUUUUUCGACCGCGCGUUUACCAACUGACUGCAACUUUUCUUACGAUUUGCAUAGUCGAAUAUUGCUGGCCUUAUCCGCGUGCCUCGCAGUUCCAGUACUCUAACUCACUCGUAAGCUUCACAUAGUAUGAGUUGCAUUUGUUUCCCUUGUCAACUGUUGAUUAGCUCUAAGCUUUAUUUCUCGUAUUCACGUUUCUUUAAAUUUUGCUAACGUGUUUGUAUACUUUUACUUGAAUUCUCUUUGCAUCCAUACUUUUUCGUUAUUUCAUUGUAGUCGCAUUUCGUUGUGAUUUAUACGUUAUAUAAAUUGGUUUAAUCGCCUUUGGCAUUCUGCAUCGUCUAUCUCUGUACCUUAUCAUUUAGUCAAUUAUACUCCACACUAACAAAUUAAUUAUAAUAUAUAAAUUUCUAAUAAAAGUCUAAUUUAUCUAUGUGUAGCUUUAUGCUCCUGCUACUUCUUUUUCUACAAGAAAACUGGCUGCUACAAUUAACAAGUUUCGAGCAAUUUCCAUACGAGUUAUCCGUGCUUGAUAUUGUGCCCAGCGUUUCAUCCUCGUGUAUUCAUGCAACACGUAGAAACGAACAGAAGACGAGAAGAUGAAACAUUGUAGAAAUUGAAGGAAAAGAAAGAAUAAAAUCUCGAAGUGUACACGCGUGUCGUGUACACUGGAACGAAAUAGUCAGCUUGAAACUAUAUCCCGAAUUGCUUACCGACGACACCAUAGUCGCAAGUCGGACGAUUUUUGGCAAUGUCGAUGGAAGUAGCUGAAAAACAAAUCGUAUCGAUAACUCGAAGAGAUCUUGGCACGGUACACGAACGCACACAUAAAACAAAAUGCGACUGGUCCAUCGAAUUGUGUUUCCAAAAACUUGGGAAACGUACAGGUAAGCUUACACGAGUUUACGAAUCGAUCGUAGUCUAGCUUUUUUAUCUUCUUCGAUCGAUUUAAAAUAGACGAUGCUUCGAUGUGUACGCUAAUAUACUUGUUAUAUUAUAUGUAAAUGACUUUAAUAAUUAAGAUUCUUUCUCAAAGACGCAUACGUGAGAAACAUUCGUGCGAGUCGGUCAACAAUAAUAAAAUAGCACACAAGUUAGAAGCAAUAAGUGCAGAGAUUUAAAAAAGGUGAUUUCGGAAAUUGAUGGCUUCUAAUAUUCGAUGUCCCUGGGCAAGAAAUUGUUAUUGACAUUAAACAUUUUCAGAUUAACUGUUUCAACGCAACUUGUCAGUUCUUGGUUGGAUAAUAAUAAAAAUUAUGUUUCUUUUAUUUCAGAACUUUUUCUUCGAUUCUGAUGAUAUGGAAAGGUAAACAACAGAAAACGACAACUUACAAUUCUGAAAUUCAAGGUAAUUAUGAGUAUAAUAAAUAAUAAAGUUGCGUGAAUGAUUUUUAUAUAAAACAGUCGGCUGACGAUAAAUCAGCUUUGCUUAGCUCAUCGAGCACUCGAAAUCUGCAAAUUUCUGAACUCCCGUUUUUUAACUCCCUGCACAAUAUCCCGAACGUGAUAAUGUGUAGAGGGCCAAAGGAACAUUUCUCACCUUCGUCGCUGGAAACGUUUCAUUGGCGCAAGUUAGUCUCUUCGAGAUUAUUAAUAUUUACGUAAAUAUCAGAAUAAUAUAAACUGCGGUAUUCUGUGUUAUAUGUAUAUCGAGAUAUUUUCGCAUCACGCAGACAUGUGUUUCCAUAGCCUAUAUCUCGGCAAUCAGCAGUGCAACACACAAGCUUUCAUCAAGCAAAACUUUCUUUGAAGCAUUUCUCGCGAAUAUGCUGUGUGGAUCCAUAAUAGAUUUGAAUGAAAUUUUUUUUU